rnacentral:rRNA from 1 species
CCUACGGGGGGCAGCAGUGAGGAAUAUUGGUCAAUGGACGAGAGUCUGAACCAGCCAAGUAGCGUGAAGGAUGACUGCCCUAUGGGUUGUAAACUUCUUUUAUAUGGGAAUAAAAUGUUCCACGUGUGGGAUUUUGUAUGUACCAUAUGAAUAAGGAUCGGCUAACUCCGUGCCAGCAGCCGCGGUAAUACGGAGGAUCCGAGCGUUAUCCGGAUUUAUUGGGUUUAAAGGGAGCGUAGGUGGAUUGUUAAGUCAGUUGUGAAAGUUUGCGGCUCAACCGUAAAACUGCAGUUGAAACUGGCAGUCUUGAGUACAGUAGAGGUGGGCGGAAUUCGUGGUGUAGCGGUGAAAUGCUUAGAUAUCACGAAGAACUCCGAUUGCGAAGGCAGUUCACUGGACUGCAACUGACACUGAGGCUCGAAAGUGUGGGUAUCAAACAGGAUUAGAUACCCCUGUAGUC